AAUUUUGUUGGUGAUUUAUCUUCAUUCCUCCAAUUUAUAGUAUACAUACUUUAUUCUUCUAUUGUAUUUGUAACACUAAUUCAAAUUAUGAUGGGUUUUACUUCAUGAUUUCACAAAUAAAUUCAGGUCUAAAUGUUUGCAAAAUCAGUUGAGAUGAAGGGUUGGUAAAAGUAUUCAAUGGAUUUUAUGAAAUUAGUUAGUUAUGUAAUUUUUUUAGAAGUUAAUAUAUAUUUUUUAAAGAGUUAUAUUUGCUGGUUGUUCCGAAUGAGAAUUGGGAUUAGCUUAUGGUAUGAUAUUGGUUAGUUCAUGAGUUUUGAUCAAAAUAUACAAAUAAAGGUUGCAGCUUUUUCUUCGCAAUAUGUAAUUUAGAUAUGGGUCUAUCAGUUGAUUGAUGAAGUUAUUAGAGUUAUAAUAUGUGUUGGAUUAUAAUAAGGGUGUGUGUAUAAGAGUUAUAAUAAUUAGUUCAUAAAGAGUUUAGAAAUAUAUAAUCAAGUUAAGAUUGUCAAUACGAAUUGUUCUAAAGAUGGAUACUAAUUUUUAUUGUUCCUAUGAGGUGAAUGAUUGUGGAACUUGAGUAUAACUUGGAGAUGGAUAUUGGAUUCUCGAAUAUAAUUUUGGAGUAGAAUGCUAUUUGAAGAUGCAUAGAGAGUUCAUUGUUAGUGAUCUUGCAGGUUCGUGUGUGGAAAGCUCGGAAUGGAGUAAAAGGAAGAAUUUAGUUAUCAAGGUUAUAAUUAGAUGUGAUGGUUCAGAGGUUGUAUUUAGGAUUAUAUAUCCUUAUUUGUGAAUAAAUUAUUAUAUUGCUUUAGAAGUCGAGCAAGGUAUUGUGUAAUAUGUUAUUUGGUUAUUGAGGAUGAUUUGUUGUGGGCCCUGACCCACAGGUCCAGGAUCGUUCUAUCGGUUAUGUUUCCGCUGCAAGUGAAUAUAAUUCGAGGUCAUUAAGCGUUAA